rnacentral:rRNA from 1 species
UACGUAGGGGGCUAGCGUUGUCCGGAUUUAUUGGGCGUAAAGAGCGUGUAGGCGGCCAGGUAGGUCUGCUGUGAAAACUCGAGGCUCAACCUCGAGACGUCGGCGGAAACCAUCUGGCUAGAGUCCGGAAGAGGAGAGUGGAAUUCCUGGUGUAGCGGUGAAAUACGUAGAGAUUGGGAAGAACACCAGUGGCGAAGGCGGCUAUCUGGACGGUUUCUGACGCUAAGACGCGAAAGCGUGGGGAGCAAACAGG